GCCUGAAUAGCUCAGUUGGUUACAGCGUGAUGCUGUUAAUGCCAAUGUUGCAGGUUUGAUCCCCAUAUGGGACA